rnacentral:rRNA from 1 species
GAUGAACGCUGGCGGCGUGCCUAAUACAUGCAAGUCGAGCGAACAGACGAGGAGCUUGCUCCUCUGACGUUAGCGGCGGACGGGUGAGUAACACGUGGAUAACCUACCUAUAAGACUGGGAUAACUUCGGGAAACCGGAGCUAAUACCGGAUAAUAUAUUGAACCGCAUGGUUCAAUAGUGAAAGACGGUUUUGCUGUCACUUAUAGAUGGAUCCGCGCCGCAUUAGCUAGUUGGAAAGGUAACGGCUUACCAAGGCAACGAUGCGUAGCCGACCUGAGAGGGUGAUAGGCCACACUGGAACUGAGACACGGUCCAGACUCCUACGGGAGGCAGCAGUAGGGAAUCUUCCGCAAUGGGCGAAAGCCUGACGGAGCAACGCCGCGUGAGUGAUGAAGGUCUUCGGAUCGUAAAACUCUGUUAUUAGGGAAGAACAAAUGUGUAAGUAACUAUGCACGUCUUGACGGUACCUAAUCAGAAAGCCACGGCUAACUACGUG